GAAGAAGAAGAAGAAGAAGAAGAAGAAGAAGAAGAAGAAGAAGACAUUUUAGAAACCAGAUCACAUUGUUUGAUCUAAAAAUCGUGCGCUUCAAAAAAGGCAAGACAAAGAAAGCUUUAGACCUCUGGCAACAAGCAGGAGGUAGAGAUUUCAUCACCAGGUCUUUAAUUUCUCAUGGUUUUAGUGAAGUUAAUGUUACAACUGAGCAGUGGUCCUCAGUUACACUUACAGUGUUUAAAAGUAAUAAGAAAGAGCAUCUUAAGUGGUUGAGGGUAAUCUGGGGUGAAGACCGACGUGGAGUCCGGACUGAGGUGCUUCAAGCAGAACGCAGCUCUUACAAAGGUCCCUGUGGUUCCUCUUGAGGAGUCUUUAUGGUUUUGUGGUCGGGAACGUCUCUGCCACAGUCAGGAAUCCCCCUCCUCCUCCUUUGCUCUGCUCACCCAAUCAGGACAGACAGCUCAUCACUCCUCCCACUUCUCCAGGUAAAACACUUCAGACAGGAAACGAAAAACAGGUGUUGUUUCUACAUUUUCAGGUAAAUGUUUGAUGAUUUUCUGACAUCUUUUUACUCUGCUGCAGAUACAACAGCUCUGUGGUGACCACCAGGGGCCUCUACCAAACAUGAAGGCAUAUCACACACAUGAAUAAACACAUCUGCACAGCUUAACUUUUACUAUUGCUUUUACAGAUAUAGGAAAUUGAAAUGGUCCCUUAGUUCAGUUUUCAAAAGAAGAAUCAAUCCCAGUUUAGAUUUGAAAAAGAAAAAAACCAGGAUGCCUCACAAAAUACAAACAUUUAUUUAGUUUUUUUCCGCAUGGUUUAAACCAGCUAGAACCAGAUAGAAGAGUUGCGACAACGGAAGUCCAAAAUGCUUGAUCGUCACGUGGUUCAGGGAGACUCAAUAGUUCCCAGGAAGUUCGUGGCGGGCCAUUUGAAUCACGAUUUGAAUGCAUUAAUACCAGGAUAGAAAUGCAAUUUUUGGUAAUUAGUGGUCAAUAAAG